GCCAGACUCCUACGGGAGGCAGCAGUCGGGAAUAUUGCGCAAUGGAGGAAACUCUGACGCAGUGACGCCGCGUGCAGGAAGAAGGUUUUCGGAUUGUAAACUGCUUUAGACAGGGAAGAUAAUGACAGUACCUGUAGAAUAAGCUCCGGCUAACUACGUGCCAGCAGCCGCGGUAAUACGUAGGGAGCAAGCGUUAUCCGGAUUUAUUGGGUGUAAAGGGUGCGUAGACGGGAAUGCAAGUUAGUUGUGAAAUCCCUCGGCUUAACUGAGGAACUGCAACUAAAACUACAUUUCUUGAGUGCUGGAGAGGAAAGUGGAAUUCCUAGUGUAGCGGUGAAAUGCGUAGAUAUUAGGAGGAACACCAGUGGCGAAGGCGACUUUCUGGACAGUAACUGACGUUGAGGCACGAAAGUGUGGGGAGCAAACAGGAUUAGAUACCCUGGUAAC
rnacentral:rRNA from 1 species